rnacentral:rRNA from 1 species
CUGCCGGUGAUAAACCGGAGGAAGGUGGGGAUGACGUCAAGUCAUCAUGGCCCUUACGAGUAGGGCUACACACGUGCUACAAUGGCAGAUACAAAGAGAAGCGACCUCGCGAGAGCAAGCGGAACUCAUAAAGUCUGUCGUAGUCCGGAUUGGAGUCUGCAACUCGACUCCAUGAAGUCGGAAUCGCUAGUAAUCGUAGAUCAGAAUGCUACGGUGAAUACGUUCCCGGGCCUUGUACACACCGCCCGUCACACCAUGGGAGUGGGUUGCAAAAGAAGUAGGUAGCUUAACCUUCGGGAGGGCGCUUACCACUUUGUGAUUCAUGACUGGGGUGAAGUCGUAACAAGGUAACCGUAGGGGAACCUGCGG